UCCCUUGUAGCUCAGUUGGUAAAGAAUCUGCCUGCAGUGCAGGAAACCCGGGUUUGAUCCCUGGGUUGGGAA
rfam:Ovis aries breed Texel chromosome 6, whole genome shotgun sequence.